AGCAUAUAUUUUUUUAUUUAUUCAUUUUUUUUCUUAAUAUCAUCUUGUUGUAUGAAAUAUGAAAUUUCCAACCUAUAUUUAUUUGUCCAUUUUCGUUAAGAAGUGAUCAUUUUAUUAUACUCUAAAGAUUGCUAGUUGGAAAUGCAAAAUACAGAAAAUAUAACACAGUUUAUUUCGUAAACUUUAUGGUUAUGUUUAUCCUGGAUUUU
rnacentral:lncRNA from 1 species